CGAAGUAGUGCAAUGGUCAUCACACACGCUCUGCAACCUUCCAGCCUGGGUUCAAUUCCCGUCACA
rnacentral:tRNA from 12 species